UUGCUUCAGCAUUAAAUAUACUAAAAUUGCAGUGAUACAGAGAAGAUGAGCACGGCCCCUGCUCCAGGAUGACAUGUGAAUCUGUGAAGCGUUCCGUAUUUUU
rnacentral:snRNA from 1 species